rnacentral:rRNA from 1 species
GUAGGUGGCAAGCGUUGUCCGGAAUUAUUGGGCGUAAAGCGCGCGCAGGCGGUCCUUUAAGUCUGAUGUGAAAGCCCACGGCUCAACCGUGGAGGGUCAUUGGAAACUGGGGGACUUGAGUACAGAAGAGGAAAGCGGAAUUCCAAGUGUAGCGGUGAAAUGCGUAGAGAUUUGGAGGAACACCAGUGGCGAAGGCGGCUUUCUGGUCUGUAACUGACGCUGAGGCGCGAAAGCGUGGGGAGCAAACAGGAUUAGAUACCCUGGUAGUCCACGCCGUAAACGAUGAGUGCUAAGUGUUAGGGGGUUUCCCGCCCCCUUAGUGCUGCAGCUAACGCAUUAAGCACUCCGCCGUGGGGAGUACGGCCGCAAGGCUG